rnacentral:sRNA from 1 species
CGCAACGGAAAUUACGCUGAACGCGUUG